rnacentral:rRNA from 1 species
GACGAACGCUGGCGGCGUGCCUAAUGCAUGCAAGUAGAACGCUGAAGGAGGAGCUUGCUCUUCUGGAUGAGUUGCGAACGGGUGAGUAACGCGUAGGUAACCUGCCUGGUAGCGGGGGAUAACUAUUGGAAACGAUAGCUAAUACCGCAUAACAGUAGAUGUUGCAUGACAUUUACUUAAAAGGUGCAAUUGCAUCACUACCAGAUGGACCUGCGUUGUAUUAGCUAGUUGGUGGGGUAACGGCUCACCAAGGCGACGAUACAUAGCCGACCUGAGAGGGUGAUCGGCCACACUGGGACUGAGACACGGCCCAGACUCCUACGGGAGGCAGCAGUAGGGAAUCUUCGGCAAUGGACGGAAGUCUGACCGAGCAACGCCGCGUGAGUGAAGAAGGUUUUCGGAUCGUAAAGCUCUGUUGUAAGAGAAGAACGAGUGUGAGAGUGGAAAGUUCACACUGUGACGGUAGCUUACCAGAAAGGGACGGCUAACUACGUG